AACAGAAUGGAGCGGGAAGGGAAAGAGGAACAUUUGUGAAGUGCCUGCAAUGAGCCAGCACGAUGAAUAGGGAAAAAUUCAUCUGAGCCUUCCUUUACAAAUCACCAAGAGAAAAAGACACUGUGCGCUGCUAAACAAAGUGCAGAACAUGCCUGCAUUGCUGCUUAAUCUAGGUCAGUCAUAGCUGCAGAGGCAGCUGAGCUCACGUGGGGCUCACUCUGGUCAUCCCUCCUUACCAGCGCACAGGUCAUCCAGCCCCUGGAGGGUACCAUGCGGCCGCCGCGGAGCCACCACCGUGCAGGAGCCCUGCCUCCAACAGGCAUCACCUGUUCACAUCAGGAAUGCGCAUGUCAGACACAUGAGAAAAAAUUACUAGCUGAUUUGUAAAACACAAACUCUCUGUCCCAGAUAAGCUAGAGGACAGCCAACACAUUUCAGAAAUGUCAGGCACGGUGCUCUCGCUAAAAUAGUCUUCUUUCACUUUUAUUCACCCUACGCUCGCCUUAUCAGAAAAUGCUGAAAAUGGGGCUGUAUUUGGGCAGAGUUACCUUGGAACUUUCAUCUUAAUUACAGACACUCUUAGUAACUGUUGCUUAGUAACAAACACAUUUGAAACAGACUUGUUGACUUAUUAUGAGAAACUCUGAAAAGACCUUCUUAGUGUGAUGGAAAAACAGCAAUGGCCUGGGAAAGUAAAAAAAAAAAAAAAAAAACUCUUUAACUGAGAAAGUGCUAGCAAACUUAAGGUAUUCCCUGCUUCCAAAGAUGCUACUGAAUGUCUGAGACCCACGUGAGGUGCAGCUGAUUACCAAAGCUCUGUGAGACAGGCCUUGGACUUCUAGUCAAAGCAGGAUCCCACACAGGACAGCAAAGGCUGUGCAUUUCCACAGGUCUGAAAUAUCCUCCAUGGCAUAGUUUUGAGACUGCUUCUAUUCAAGAUUUCAGGAGGCGUCUAAGGCUUCUGGUGCCUUGAUUGUACAAGAAAAUUAAUGGGAAGUGGAACCAGGCCAACCUCUCACUGCAGAACAAGGUUCUGUUGUCAAAACUCAUUCACGCCGGGUUGGUGCUCUGGGCUCAGGAGAGGUGACGGGAAUGUUUCUUCAGCCAAGCCAAGGAAAAUUAAUGACCACCCCUCAGAAAUAUACGGUCUGUUAGGGCAAUGCCCUCAGCCCCGAUCAUCACGGAGGGGCGGGGAGGGGCGGAUGGGAUCAGAGAGCAUGAGGAAGAAUGGGGUCGUCUGUUGGCAAAUCCACAGGACUCAGUCAUUCUAUAGGAUUUUUCCCAAGUUCCCUCUAAAGCCAUCUAGGUGCAAAUGACAUCCAGGAAAUAAAACCACACGCACCACGUGUCCACCCUGCUUAAGUCAAAAGUGGUACAUAGUCCCUGAGGGUGGCGCAAUGACCCUGCACCGCCUGCAGACCCUCGUGUCCUAGCAACACCUGGGGGAUGAACCUCCAUCAAGGACUGGACCCCACCCCCCCAAUAACUCGGGCUCAAAUCUUAUGAUAAAAUAUACUCUUGUUUUACACUAAAGAUGAUAUCAGUACACCCUCCAUGUGACUGUCCCUUUGGCACACCUGCAUACGUGCGCGCACACACACAAAGCCUUUUUUUGGCCUACUAGUAGGUACAUUAUUUUCACAGCAGCCAGAGUGAUCCUGUUAAAAAACCAAAGUCACCCGUCAUGUCAGUUCUGUGCUCAAUACUCGCCCCCUCCCGGUGGCGCCCACUCACUCACAGCUACCCCUACUCCACAGUCCCUGUAAUGGUCUACAAUUGUGGUCCUUCAGGGCCAACCCCAUCUC